rnacentral:pre_miRNA from 1 species
GAGAUACUCUUAUGAGGCAGGAUUUGAUUCAGUGGGGCUUUGGUGCUCACUGAGUCUCCCUCUUGAGUGUGUCACU